rnacentral:rRNA from 1 species
GAUGAACGCUGGCGGCGUGCCUAAUACAUGCUAGUCGAGCGAACGGACGAGAAGCUUGCUUCUCUGAUGUUAGCGGCGGACGGGUGAGUAACACGUGGAUAACCUACCUAUAAGACUGGGAUAACUUCGGGAAACCGGAGCUAAUACCGGAUGAUAUUUUGAACCGCAUGGUUCAAAAGUGAAAGACGGUCUUGCUGUCACUUAUAGAUGGAUCCGCGCUGCAUUAGCUAGUUGGUAAGGUAACGGCUUACCAAGGCAACGAUGCAUAGCCGACCUGAGAGGGUGAUCGGCCACACUGGAACUGAGACACGGUCCAGACUCCUACGGGAGGCAGCAGUAGGGAAUCUUCCGCAAUGGGCGAAAGCCUGACGGAGCAACGCCGCGUGAGUGAUGAAGGUCUUCGGAUCGUAAAACUCUGUUAUUAGGGAAGAACAUAUGUGUAAGUAACUGUGCACAUCUUGACGGUACCUAAUCAGAAAGCCACGGCUAACUACGUG